rnacentral:sRNA from 1 species
UUCUUCCUACUGGAUCUGGUGCUCAACUUCCGAACGGGCAUCGUGGUGGAGGAGGGUGCUGAGAUCCUGCUAGCACCGCGGGCCAUCCGCACGCGCUACCUGCGCACCUGGUUCCUGGUUGACCUCAUCUCUUCUAUCCCUGUGGAUUACAUCUUCCUAGUGGUGGAGCUGGAGCCACGGUUGGACGCUGAGGUCUACAAAACGGCACGGGCCCUACGCAUCGUUCGCUUCACCAAGAUCCUAAGCCUGCUGAGGCUGCUCCGCCUCUCCCGCCUCAUCCGCUACAUACACCAGUGGGAGGAGAACCACUCGUGGGGCCGCCAGUAUUCCCAUGCCCUGUUCAAGGCCAUGAGCCACAUGCUGUGCAUUGGCUAUGGGCAGCAGGCACCUGUAGGCAUGCCCGACGUCUGGCUCACCAUGCUCAGCAUGAUCGUGGGUGCCACAUGCUACGCCAUGUUCAUCGGCCAUGCCACGGCACUCAUCCAGUCCCUGGACUCUUCCCGGCGUCAGUACCAGGAGAAGUACAAGCAGGUGGAGCAGUACAUGUCCUUCCACAAGCUGCCAGCAGACACGCGGCAGCGCAUCCACGAGUACUAUGAGCACCGCUACCAGGGCAAGAUGUUCGACGAGGAAAGCAUCCUGGGCGAGCUGAGCGAGCCGCUUCGCGAGAGAUCUGCCUGCUAACUAGGGGCCGGCGCACAGCCAGUGUUCGGGCUGACACCUACUGCCGCCUUUACUCACUCAGUGUGGACCAUUUCAAUGCUGUGCUUGAGGAGUUCCCCAUGAUGCGCCGGGCCUUUGAGACUGUGGCCAUGGAUCGGCUGCGCCGCAUCGGCAAGAAGAAUUCCAUACUGCAGCGGAAGCGCUCUGAGCCAAGUCCAGGCAGCAGUGGUGGCAUCAUGGAGCAGCACUUGGUGCAACAUGACAGAGACAUGGCUCGGGGUGUUCGGGGUCGGG